CAAUGAAGAAUUUUAACAUAAUAAGGGAGAUCAUACAAAAUGCAUGUUAUUUUUUAUUUAGUACUGUCCUAAGAUAUUUUACAUAAAAGAUGUUUACAUAAUCCACAAGACAAAAAUAGCUGAAUUUAUUAAAAUGUCGCAAAAGUUUAUGAACCAUUGAUUCUUAAUACUGUGUGUGGUUACCUGGAUGAACCACGACUGUUUUUUUGUUUUGUGAUGGUUGUUCAUGAGUCUCUUGUUUGUUCUGAUCAGUUAAACUGAGCUCUGUUCUUCAGAAAAAUCCUCCAGGUCCUGCAGAUUCUUCAGUUUUCCAGCAUCUUCUGCAUAUUUGAACCCUUUCCAGCAGUGACUGUAUGAUUCUGAGAUCCGUCUUUUCACACUGAGGACAACUGAGGGACUCAGACAAAACUAUUAAAAAAGUACUGCCCUUCGGAAGCAACAGAAUAUACUUGAAGACAAAUCAAGUACAAUUUACCUUAAUCUUCAAAUUCAAAAGUUUUCAUCCCUUAGCUCUUAAUGCAUUGUGUUUCCUUCUGAAGCAUCAGUGAAUGUUUGAAUCUUUUUUAAUAGUUGUGUUUGAGUCCCUCAGUUGUCCUCAGUGUGAAAAGAUGGAUCUCAAAAUCAUUCAGUCACUGCUGGAAAGGGUUCAAAUAUGCAAAAGAUGGUGGAAAACUGAAGGAUCUGCAGGACCUGGAGGAUUUUCUGAAGAACAGAGCUCAGUUUAACUGCUCAGAACAAACAAGGGCCUCUUUGCUGAAAAAAUGCUGUUCUUUUGAACUUUCUAUUCAUCAAAGAAUCCUGAAAAAACACAACUGUUUUCAACAUUGAUAAUAAUCAGAAAUGUUUCUUGAGCAUCAAAUCAUCACAUUAGAAUGAUUUCUGAAGGAUCGUGUGACACUGAAGACUGGAGUAAUGAUGCUGAAAAUUCAGCUCUGAUCACAGAAAUAAAUUAAAGUUUAAAGUAUAUUAGUCUACAACAAUAAACAGUUAUUUUAAAUUGUAAUAAUAUUUCACAAUAUUACUGUUUUUACUGGAUUUCUGAUCAAAUAAAUGCAGUGUUGGUGAGCAGAAGAGACUCAAAGUUUUGUUAAUAACAAUUAACACUGGUUUUCUUGUUGGUACUAAAGUAUGAUUUCAUCUGGUUAUGAGCCAACAAUUUUGUAAACAGAAUCAGGACAGUCAAUGCUAAAUAAUACCUGGACCUGUGUUGAGUGUCUUCGCUCCGGGAACAACCAAAUAAUGUUUUUUUG